rnacentral:rRNA from 1 species
AACGAACGCUGGCGGCAGGCCUAACACAUGCAAGUCGAACGCUCUAGCAAUAGAGAGUGGCAGACGGGUGAGUAACGCGUGGGAACCUUCCCAAUGGUGCAGAAUAGCCCAGGGAAGCUUGGGGUAAUACUGCAUAAGCCCUUCGGGGGAAAGAUUUAUCGCCAUUGGAUGGGCCCGCGUCGGAUUAGCUAGUUGGUGAGGUAAUGGCUCACCAAGGCAACGAUCCGUAGCUGGUUUGAGAGAAUGACCAGCCACACUGGGACUGAGGCACGGCCCAGACUCCUACGGGAGGCAGCAGUGGGGAAUCUUGGACAAUGGGCGCAAGCCUGAUCCAGCCAUGCCGCGUGAGUGACGAAGGCCUUAGGGUUGUAAAGCUCUUUUGCCGGGGACGAUAAUGACGGUACCCGGAGAAUAAGUCCCGGCUAACUUCGUGCCAGCCGCCGCGGUAA